CGGAGAGUUUGAUCCUGGCUCAGAUUGAACGCUGGCGGCAGGCCUAACACAUGCAAGUCGAGCGGUAGAGAGAAGCUUGCUCCUCUUGAGAGCGGCGGACGGGUGAGUAAUGCCUAGGAAUCUGCCUGGUAGUGGGGGAUAACGUCCGGAAACGGACGCUAAUACCGCAUACGUCCUACGGGAGAAAGCAGGGGACCUUCGGGCCUUGCGCUAUCAGAUGAGCCUAGGUCGGAUUAGCUAGUUGGUGGGGUAAUGGCUCACCAAGGCGACGAUCCGUAACUGGUCUGAGAGGAUGAUCAGUCACACUGGAACUGAGACACGGUCCAGACUCCUACGGGAGGCAGCAGUGGGGAAUAUUGGACAAUGGGCGAAAGCCUGAUCCAGCCAUGCCGCGUGUGUGAAGAAGGUCUUCGGAUUGUAAAGCACUUUAAGUUGGGAGGAAGGGCAGUAAAUUAAUACUUUGCUGUUUUGACGUUACCGACAGAAUAAGCACCGGCUAACUCUGUGCCAGCAGCCGCGGUAAUACAGAGGGUGCAAGCGUUAAUCGGAAUUACUGGGCGUAAAGCGCGCGUAGGUGUUCGUUAAGUUGGAUGUGAAAUCCCCGGGCUCAACCUGGGAACUGCAUUCAAAAC
rnacentral:rRNA from 1 species